UUCAUAUCUCGGGGCGAUCUC
rnacentral:siRNA from 1 species